UCUUAUCGAGAGCGGCGGAGGGACUAGGCCCGACGAUGCCCGGCAACCAUCAAGCAUUGCUUGAAAAGGUGCUAAUUCCUACAGAUCUGUGGAUCUGAAAGAUAAGA
rnacentral:ncRNA from 1 species